UACGGAGGAUGCAAGCGUUAUCCGGAAUCAUUGGGCGUAAAGAGCUCGUAGGCGGUCUGUCGCGUCGAUCGUGAAAACUUGGGGCUUAACCCUGAGCUUGCGGUCGAUACGGGCAUGACUGGAGUUCGGCAGGGGAGACUGGAAUUCCUGGUGUAGCGGUGAAAUGCGUAGAUAUCGAGAGGAACACCUGCGGCGAAGGCGGGUUGCUGGGCUGACACUGACGCUGAGGCGCGAAAGCUAGGGGAGCGAACGGG
rnacentral:rRNA from 1 species